CCGGACCCUGGUUGUGAGCAGUGCCAGUUGAGCAGAACAGCUUUUGUCUUCCCUCAAACAGGCUGUAAUGCUGCCUCCCUGCCUCUCCGAUGUACGCUUGAAUCUUGGAUGAAGAUAAUGCAUCACCAUCUACUGGCGGCCAAAAGGAUAACGGUAAAAUAAUGCAGCAGGUUAUUUUGCUUUGACUGAUCUUCAUUGGAGCCAAACAAAGAUGAUGAGAACUGCAAGUAGGGAGGAAGAAUAGUCUGGAGAGUGCUGUCGGGACAUCUUUCUUUGGACACAAAGGUGUGCCUCACCUGAGGUCCUAACACCAAGCUUGUCCACUCUGUGUGUCCCUCUGGCAGUGAACAUUCAUUGCUAUGGUUGGUGUUACCGUGACUUGAAGCUGUAACAGCUGUAAAAUUAUGACUAGAAAUACAUUUGAAAGUCUCGCUCAUUUGGUUAACAACAGCACGAGAGUUUAUGGCUACCCUGGUGUCAACAGCUGCACUGGAUGUGAAUAAGCUCAAUAAAUAUGAGGCUCUGACUUGCUCUCAGCUGCACUGUUACAAAUCCAAACGAUUUUCCUGCUAGCAGAGGAGUGAUUUCAUAUUAUUGUGCUAGUAACAUCCAUGUAAGUAGCAUUGAUAUUGUUAUACCAGGUAACUAGGAUUAAAAAUGUGCCUCCUAUGGUUUAGGUUCUAAUUAUGUACUCGAUUUCUAAGAGGGAUCUAGUUCCAUACAGUGUAAUUAAGAGUUAUCAGGGUUAUCUUACCUAGUGUUUCCUUGCAGAUUUUUAGAAACUUGGUAGAAACAGGCUUCCUUUUAAAUUAUUUACAAGGAUUUGCUCCAGAACUUGGAGGCAGAAAGGGACAUUACCUUUCUAACAGGGGGAAAAAAUGGCAUUACUCAGUUUUAGCAAGAAAAUGGAUUACUGAGAUGUUUCAACACUCACUGCUUCUUUUUAUCAUCCUCACGGCAUCUGGGAAAACUGGUAAGCUCAGCCACCAGAUAUGUUUCCUAUCAGAUGUCCCCAGCGUUUCCUAUGAAGUGACUGUGCUUGAAAAGACAGCCAAGAACCAUGGAUAGGCACAUUAACCCUAUCUUCAUAAGAGGGAAAUCUUGUCAGCAAAUGCAAAUAGUGCUUCUGUUAUUUUGACAGGUCCUUCAAAUGUGUUAGCAAAUUCUGAUGAAGAUUUUAUUUCAAGCAAUGUAUGGGAAUGCUGAUUCUUAGUUGUCCACAAAUCACCAUAAGCACUAAAAAUAACAUGCAAUUAAUAACCCUGUUAGUGAUUAAAAUUGACCAUACUUGCUUUCCAAACAGAAGAGAGAUUUUUUUUUUUCGGGGUAGCUCAUUUUCUGCUGCUCCAUUUAGAUGCUACAGAGCUGAAGGAGAAGAGUUCCUUUGCAGGCAUGUCUCCUGGUUUAGGCAGAGAAGCCAGGCUCUGGGGAGGAUCUUGGUGCCCUCCUGCCUCCAUGCUCAAACAGUUUGCUUUAAUAUUGACAGGGCACCUCCAAGC